rnacentral:rRNA from 1 species
GGAUUAGAUACCCUGGUAGUCCACACUGUAAACGAUGGAUACUAGGUGUAGGCACUAACGUGUCUGUGCCGGCGCAAACGCAAUAAGUAUCCCACCUGGGGAGUACGACCGCAAGGUUGAAACUCAAAAGAAUUGACGGGGGCCCGCACAAGCAGUGGAGUAUGUGGUUUAAUUCGACGCAACGCGAAGAACCUUACCAAGACUUGACAUAUACGGGAAUAUCUGGGAAAUCAGAUAGUCUUUCGGGACUCGUAUACAGGUGAUGCAUGGUUGUCGUCAGCUCGUGCCG